GCAGACACAUUCCAGCCAAUCAGCAGCAGACCCUCCCUCCCAGACCCUCCCACGUCCUUUACAUUCAUUGUGAAGCUGCAUUCUUAGUGAGCUGUCCAGGAGGUGGGAGGGUCUGGGAGGGAGGGUCUGCUGCUGAUUGGCUGGAAUGUGUCUG